CGUUGUUGAGGCACAGCGCGACAUGGAACCAAUGAUGCAAGCAGGCUAGCUAGCUAGGCAGACAAGCAGAUGUCCGAAAAGCCGCCGUUCAGAGCUUUGCUGUUACAGCUAAUAAUGCUGCUGCUGUUUACUCCGGCCAAACGUGACCGUCAACGGACUCGGACGGUCGUAACGGAUGGAAGUCUCCAUAAUAUGAAGAUGUCGAUUAAUGGAGAAAAGUUCUUGUGUGAUAGCUCCCGGCCAAGGAGAACGUAGACAUACGAAAAUGUUUUGAACUUCCUCCACUACAGAGAUUCGUCAAAAUUGGUCGAGAAGUUAAGAAAAAAAGAAACUAUCAUCUGCAUUUUCGUCUACCUUAUGCUUUCAAGUAGUGCAACGUCUGGAAAUCAUCGUCUGCAAACGAGCUGAGAAGAUGAUACGGAUUUUACUGAAAGAACAACUUUUCAUUUCGCAGUCCUGUAACACUAUGCAUUCUAUAGACACUUCGAAUAAUUUUGGCUUUAAUGCUACUCGUAUUGGCAGAAAACCAAAUUUUAUAGAGAGUGCUAACGUCAACUUGGUUUUUCUUUCGAGUCGUCUCUAUUUGCUUUGUGAUAAAGGUCAGUCGGAUUCAAACAAUAGAACUUCAUGAUUCUGGUAACAUACAGAAAAUCCUGAUAAUUUAAAUUAGAGAAAACACAAUCUCGAUGAGAUUGAUUUAGCACAGUUAUUACAACGUUUCUAGUAUUGGUAGAGUAAGUAGAACGGUUUUAUCUUAAUAUUUUCGUCUUCUACUCGAAAUGAAACAGUUGGAUCAAUAAUAGUUUAGAGGCCGACAAACGACAAACAAGAUAAUUUAAUCUCAGUUUUAUUGCUUUUACUUUUUCUGAUUACAAAUAGUAGUUUAGAACUAGAAUAAUAACUUCUAGUAGCAACGCCAUCGCCGUGCUAGAAGAAUGAUCUGUCGCUUUCGGCGCCACCGAUAAACAGGCCUCUGGCAGGUGUCACUAUUUCAGGCCAUUCGUGAAACUCGUCAACAUGUACGACAUCGUAUAAUCAUAACAGUUGUUGAUAUCCACGCAUGA